rnacentral:rRNA from 1 species
UACGUAGGGGGCAAGCGUUGUCCGGAAUUAUUGGGCGUAAAGAGCGUGUAGGCGGUCCGGUAAGUCGGCUGUGAAAGUCCAGGGCUCAACCCUGGGAUGCCGGUCGAUACUGCCGGACUAGAGUUCGGAAGAGGCGAGUGGAAUUCCCGGUGUAGCGGUGAAAUGCGCAGAUAUCGGGAGGAACACCUAUGGCGAAGGCAGCUCGCUGGGACGUUACUGACGCUGAGACGCGAAAGCGUGGGUAGCGAACAGG